AUUGGAAAGUCCGGCGAUACAGGGUGAUAGCCCCGUACACGAAGACGCAUUGCUGUGAGCUCGAUGAGUAGGACGGGACACGUGGUAUCCUGUUUGAAGAUGGGGGGACCAUCCUCCAAGGCUAAAUACUCCUGACUGACCGAUAGCGAACCAGUACCGUGAGGGAAAGGCGAAAAGAACCCCUGUGAGGGGAGUGAAAUAGAACCUGAAACCGUGUACGUACAAGCAGUGGGAGCACCUUCGUGGUGUGACUGCGUACCUUUUGUAUAAUGGGUCAGCGACUUACAUUUUGUAGCGAGGUUAACCGAAUAGGGGAGCCGUAGGGAAACCGAGUCUUAAUAGGGCGAAUGAGUUGCAAGGUGUAGACCCGAAACCCGGUGAUCUAGCCAUGGGCAGGUUGAAGGUUGGGUAACACUAACUGGAGGACCGAACCGACUAAUGUUGAAAAAUUAGCGGAUGACUUGUGGCUGGGGGUGAAAGGCCAAUCAAACCGGGAGAUAGCUGGUUCUCCCCGAAAGCUAUUUAGGUAGCGCCUCGGACGAACACCUACGGGGGUAGAGCACUGUUAAGGCUAGGGGGUCAUCCCGACUUACCAACCCUUUGCAAACUCCGAAUACCGUAGAGUGCUAUCCGGGAGACACACGGCGGGUGCUAACGUCCGUCGUGAAGAGGGAAACAACCCAGACCGCCAGCUAAGGUCCCAAAGUCAUGGUUAAGUGGGAAACGAUGUGGGAAGGCUUAGACAGCUAGGAUGUUGGCUUAGAAGCAGCCAUCAUUUAAAGAAAGCGUAAUAGCUCACUAGUCGAGUCGGCCUGCGCGGAAGAUGUAACGGGGCUAAACCAUGCACCGAAGCUGCGGCAAUGACAUUU
rnacentral:rRNA from 1 species